AAUUCUCAACCCCACCAGCUUUUUUGGUUGGCCUUUGGGGCUUGGAUGUGGAGGUUUUUGCUGGCCUUUAUAGGUCAGCUCCUCUGAAAUACAUUAGCGGAACCGUUUGCGAUCCGUCACAGGUGUGAUAAUUAUCUACGCCAGUGGGUUGCUCUCUGUCUGUUCAGCUUAUAAUCGUCCUGUAUUGGACAAACUUAAUUGAACGU
rnacentral:misc_RNA from 1 species